rnacentral:rRNA from 1 species
AUACGGAGGAUCCGAGCGUUAUCCGGAUUUAUUGGGUUUAAAGGGUGCGUAGGCGGCCUUUUAAGUCAGCGGUGAAAGUCUGUGGCUCAACCAUAGAAUUGCCGUUGAAACUGGGGGGCUUGAGUAUGUUUGAGGCAGGCGGAAUGCGUGGUGUAGCGGUGAAAGGCAUAGAUAUCACGCAGAACCCCGAUUGCGAAGGCAGCCUGCCAAGCCAUGACUGACGCUGAUGCACGAAAGCGUGGGGAUCAAACAGGAUUAGAUACCCUGGUAGUCCACGCAGUAAACGAUGAUCACUAGCUGUUUGCGAUACACUGUAAGCGGCACAGCGAAAGCGUUAAGUGAUCCACCUGGGGAGUACGCCGGCAACGGUGAAACUCAAAUGAAUUGACGGGG